rnacentral:rRNA from 1 species
UACGUAGGCAGCGAGCGUUGUUCGGAGUUACUGGGCGUAAAGAGUGCGUAGGCGGUGCUCCAAGUCGUGGUGUGAAAUCUCCCGGCUUAACCGGGAGGGUGCGCCCGGAAAGCUGGGGGUGCUGGAGUGUGGGGAGAGGUAAGCGGAAUUCCCGGUGUAGCGGUGAAAUGCGUAGAUAGUCGGGAGGAACACCUGCGGUGGUAGACGGCUUACUGGACCAUAACUGACGCUGAGGCACGAAAGCGUGGGUAGCAAACAGG